GAAAGAUUCCGGUUGAUCCUGCCGGACCCGACUGCUAUUGGGGUGAGGCUAAGCCAUGCGAGUCAGCGCUUCUAGCCACGAUGGAGCGCGGCAUACGGCUCAGUAACAUGUAGUCAAUCUACCCUCAGGACGGGGACACCCUCGGGAAACUGAGGCUGAUCCCAGAUAGAUAAUUGAUCCUGGAGUGGUCUUUUAUCCAAAUGAUACGUGGCUCAUGCGUCAUGUGUCGCCUGAGGAUGAGACUACGUCCGAUCAGGCUGUUGGUGGGGUAACGGCCCACAAAACCUAUAACCGGUACGGGCCCUGAGAGGGGGAGCCUGGAGAUGGGAACUGAGACAAGGUCCCAGGCCCUACGGGGCGCAGCAGGCGCGAAAACUCCACAAUGCGCGAAAGCGUGAUGGGGUUACCCCGAGUGCCGUCCGAUGAGGAUGGCUUUUUUCCAGUGUAAGGAGCUGGAGGAAUAAAGGGGGGGUAAGACUGGUGUCAGCCGCCGCGGUAAUACCAGCCCCCUGAGUGAUAGGGACGAUUAUUUAGCCUAAAGCGUCCGUAGCCGGCUUGGUAAGUCUUUCGUUAAAUCUGACGACUCAAUCGCCAGACCGCGGGAGAUACUGCUAGGCUAGAGGGCGGGAGAGGUUGACGGUAUUCCCGGGGUAGGGGUGAAAUCCUAUAAUCCCGGGAGGACCACCAGUGGCGAAGGCGGUCAACUAGAACGCGCCUGACGGUGAGGGACGAAAGCUGGGGGAGCGAACCGGAUUAGACACCCGGGUAGUCCCAGCCGUAAACGAUGCGGGCUAGGUGUUGGGGUAGCUACGAGCUACUCCAGUGCCGCAGAGAAGUUGUUAAGCCCGCCGCUUGGGAAGUACGGCCGCAAGGCUGAAACUUAAAGGA
rnacentral:rRNA from 1 species